GAUGAACGCUGGCGGCGUGCCUAAUACAUGCAAGUCGAGCGAACAGACGAGGAGCUUGCUCCUCUGACGUUAGCGGCGGACGGGUGAGUAACACGUGGAUAACCUACCUAUAAGACCGGGAUAACUUCGGGAAACCGGAGCUAAUACCGGAUAAUAUAUUGAACCGCAUGGUUCAAUAGUGAAAGACGGUUUUGCUGUCACUUAUAGAUGGAUCCGCGCCGCAUUAGCUAGUUGGUAAGGUAACGGCUUACCAAGGCAACGAUGCGUAGCCGACCUGAGAGGGUGAUCGGCCACACGGGAGCUGAGACACGGUCCAGAGUCCUACGGGAGGCAGCAGAAGGGAAUCGUCCGCAAUGGGCGAAAGCCUGACGGAGCAACGGCGAGUGAGUGAUGAAGGUCUUCGGAUCGGAAAACUCUGUUAUGAGGGAAGAACAAAUGUGUAAGUAACUAUGCACGUCGUGACGGUACCGAAUCAGAAAGCCACGGCUAACUACGUG
rnacentral:rRNA from 1 species